UUCAAGGUGUAGUUCAUGUUCCAACUCUUCUAGAAAGUCCAUGGUCACACCUCUCCUUAGGGAGCCCUUCCUGCUGGCGGCUUUUCAAGCAUAGGCAGGUUCAAGAUUGGAGAGCCCCAGUCAUGGGAGAUUUGGGGUCAAUGAAUCCAUCAUACAUCCAGUAGGGGGAGCCAGAGCUUAGUUCCUGGCCCCUGGAGAUCCCUCUCCUGCAUAAACAAACUCCACUUGGGGUGUGAGAAAGCAAAGAUAUGCUCAAAACACGUCUUUUAAGGGGAUUGUGGGGAGAGGAAGGCAGCAGUGUAGUGUGAAUCUUUGAAGGAGUUUUUUGUUUUUGUUUUGAGACAGUCUUGCUGUGUUGCCCAGGCUGGAGUGCAGUGGCCCCAUCUCGGCUUACAGCAGCCUCAACCUCCUGGGCUCAAGCAAUCCUCCCAUCUCAGCCUCCUGGGCUCAAGCAAUCCUCCCAUCUCAGCCUCCUGAGACUACAGGCAUGCACUACCAUGCCUGGCUAAUUUUCUUUCCUUUUUUUUUUUUCUUUUGGUAGAGAGAGGGUUUGCCGUAUUACUCAGGCUGGUCUGAAACUUAAAGGAGUUUUGGGGGGUUUAUUUUACUUUAAGGAGGUUUUCAGAGUAGCAAUCCUUGAAUCAAGCUUCUCUCUGCAUUUAUCUGCAGAUUUGAUUUACAAAGAUAUAGGUAUACAACUUCUCAAAAGCCUGUGUUUUGUUGUUUAAAGCCAAAUAAGGCUGGAUGUAGUGGCUCAUGCCUUUAAUCCCAGCACUUUGGACGGUUGAGGCAGGCAGAUCACUUGAGGUCAGGAGUUCAAGACCAGCUUGGCCAACGUGGUGAAACCCCAUCUCUACUAAAAAUACAAAAAAAAAUCAGCCGGGCAUGAUGGUGAGCGCCCAUAGUCCCAGCUACUUGGGAGGCUGAGGCAUGAGAAUCGCUUAAACCCAUGAGGCAGAGGUUGUAUUGAUCUGAGAUCAUGCCACUGCACUCCAGCCUGGGUGACAGAGUGAAACUCUGUCUUAAAAAAAAAAAAAAAACAGCCGAAUACAAAUAGAUUUUAUUGUGGAAGGAAUGGAAUGUUGCCACUGGAUCACCAAAUUCAAUAAAUCCAGGUGGGGCACGGUGGCUCAUACCUAACCUCAGCGCUUUUGAGAGAUAGAGGUAGGAGGAUUGCUUGAGGCCAGAAGCUCAAGACUAGCCUAGGCAACAUAGCAAGACCUCACCUCUACAAAAAAAAACAAAAAAAUUUAAGUCACUAUAAGUGGCACAUACCUGUAGUCCCAGCUACCUGGAAGGCUGAGGUGGGAGGAUUGCUUGAGUGCAAGGAGUUUGAAGCUGUAGUUCAUUAUGACUGCACCACUGUACUUCAGCCUGGGUGCAGAGACAGACCCCAUCUGAAAUAAAUAAACAGAGCAUUGGUUGGAGGAGUUAGGUAGGAGGCAGCUUAGAGAAAGAGCACUGGAUCUGAGUUUGAUGCUCCCAGUUAAAUUCUGUUUCUAAUCAUUAACCAACUUUUGACUGUAGGCAGGUAAGUAAAUCUCUUGACUGACUGUGAAUUUCUGCAACAUGAAAUGUGACAGUGUUUACAGAGCACAGCUAUAAAGCAUUCUUAGGGUUCCCUGAGUCAUCGGCCGAGCUUUCACAGUCCAGGAUUGAUGGCAGAACUCCCUCACUUAAAGUCAGGUCAAAUAAUUGUAACUCUGAAGCACCAGAAAUGGGGAGGUAACUUUUACACCCAGCUCCAAGCCCUUAAGCCUCCAGCCAGGCCUUUAUCCAGUCCUGCACCAUUAGCUUCUAUACUCCUCCUGGUUGUAGCCUACCCUAUAUAACCACAGUGAGGCAAGACGCCCAGCCUUGUUGCCCACAUGAAGAAUAAGCCAUGUGUGGCUUUUCCCCAGGACUCAGGGCACCUGAGCAACCUGGAGAAAGAAGCUGAAAUCUGGGCUCUCAGAUGUUACUGGGAGGCAGCUUCUCAGGGAACACUGGGAUCUCUGCUAAGAACUGAGCUGGCACAAUUGGAUGGAGGCCCCAAGAAACAGGCUUUGGUGCUCAUCAGAUAUGUCCUUUUAGGCAGAAGUGGCCAUAUACUGACCAAGGAAGAGGUGACUUGAAUUGUUAGCCUUGCCCCACAGGCACGGUCUCAGCUCCUAAAAGUCCAGUUUGGCUCUAUCUGUAUUUGGAGAAAGGUAUUGAUUUCUGUUUUCCUCGAGAUCUCUUCCCCUCCCCAGGUCUCUAUUACCAUCUGUAGCCAGCUGUGGCUACCGCUCAGGACAGGAAUUUUCUGCAGGGGCUAUAUUCAGCAGCGCAUGUCAGGGCCUGCAGGAACUGGUUUAACUUGCUUCUGAGAGUCUUGACUCCACCUCAGACUCCUUUGGCUUUGGGGUAGGGAGGUGAUUCUAGAGGUUUGGGAGAGCAGGAGACAGGAUACAGCCAAAGGGAUCUGUCAAGUCAAGGAGGUCCCUGGAGAGAGGUGACUUUACAGGAGAAGAGGGCCUCCUAGGCUUCCACUAAACUAUCUGCUCACAGGUCCCAAAACUCCAGCUUCUCUUCCUUUUUUUAAAAAAAUUUUUUAGGGCCGGGCACAGUGGCUCAAGCCUGUAAUCCCAGCACUUUGGGAGGCCAAGGCAGGUGGAUCAUGAGGUCAAGAGAUCGAGACCGGAGACCCUUUUCACAAGAUGGCGCCGAAAGCGAAGAAGGAAGCUCCUGCCCCUCCUAAAGCCGAAGCCAAAGCGAAGGCUUUAAAGGCCAAGAAGGCAGUGUUGAAAGGUGUCCACAGCCACAAAAAAAAGAAGAUCCGCACGUCACCCACCUUCCGGUGGCCCAAGACACUGCGACUCCGGAGGCAGCCCAAGUAUCCUCAGAAGAGCGCCCCCAGAAGAAACAAACUUGACCACUAUGCGAUCAUCAAGUUUCCACUGACCACUGAGUCUGCCAUGAAGAAGAUAGACAACAACACACUUGUAUUCAUUGUGGAUGUUAAAGCCAACAAACACCAGAUCAAACAGGCUGUGAAAAAGCCCUAUGACAUUGAUGUGGCCAAGGUCAACACCCUGAUUCCGCCUGAUGGAGAGAUGAAGGCAUAUGUUCACUGGCUCCUGAUUACGAUGCUUUGGAUGUUGCAAACAAAAUUGGGAUCAUCUAAACAGUCCAGCUGGCUAAUUCUAAAUAUAUGUAUAUCUUUUCACCAUAAAAAAAAAAAAAAAAAAAAAGAGAUCGAGACCAUCCUGGUCAACAUGGUGAAACCCUGUC